CGGCACCGCCCCCCGCCCCCCGCCGCUCUCGCGGGACCUCCUCGGCACCGCCCUCCGCCGAUUAAAGGGGCAACGUCCGCCCGGACUCACGGGAGCGGCGCACAGGAGCGCUCGGCACCAUAGAGACUCGUACGAGCUCGCCUAGAGCGUCACCUGCUCUCCCAACCCCUCCCCCCCCCGGUGGUGUCUGCGUCGCGGGCGGGACCCGACGCCCACCUUCCCGUUCCCGGCGCUCAGGCGGGAGAGGAAGCGGAGAGAAUGGGGGCUGAGAGCUGCACCAUGGUAACCCCACGGGACGCUCUAACUCGUUCUGCGUCACGAAGAUGCCCGUGACGGCUUCCGGAAGAAUGCUCUGCGGCCAUGUUUCUGAGGGGCUCUGAGGUCACUUCCGGAGCCCUCACUGCGUACUUCCGCUUAUAUGGAAAGUGGGAGGGUCCCUUAAAAGGGCAAUGACGGACGUUGGCCGCUGGGAAAAGAAGUCAAAGUUUGUUGAGUGCUUACAAUGUUCCAGGCAUUUUCUAAGCACUUUUUACGCAUUAAUGUAUUUACUCCCCCCACAACAAACCCACGAACCAGAUAGUUUGAGGUCACACUAGUGGCAGAGCCUAAACCCCGUGCUAUCUCUGCUUUGAUUCUGCGAUCGUUUAAUGAACACUACGUUUGCUUUGCUCUGUGACGGGCGCUGGAGGAGAAAGAAAUCUCCCUCAUCUGACUUUCGCAUCCGCGGCCGGGGAUCGCCAGAUGACGUCACUACCAGGGAGAGUCGGUCCCCGGCUCACCUAGGUCGGUCGCAGUCUAUCGCCCCCUGGCGGUCCUCUGGGGAACCAGUCUAUAGCGCCCUCUGGAGCCACCAAGUGCCCCGUACUGUCAAAGCGACAAAGACAGGGGAAUCUGGUGUAGCCGGUUCGGCUUGGUGAUCGCCUUGGUGAACGACCUCGAGUCACCUUGCCCAACUGCAGUGACCUCAUCUGGGGGGAUGAGGGGUUUGUGCUGAGUCAGUUUUUUCCCUAAACUCAUCAUUCAGCCGACUGAGAUGCUUUUCUAAAAUUCUCUCCCGCAGGCCAUUAAAAUUAUACAGGAAAAUGAUACGUGUGUUUAUUGCAUUCCUCAAUAAAAGCUGUAACGUAAUGUGUACUUAGAUCUCU
rnacentral:lncRNA from 1 species